UACGGGGGGGGCAAGCGUUGUUCGGAAUUACUGGGCGUAAAGGGCGCGUAGGCGGUCAGCACAAGUCAGUUGUGAAAUCUCCGGGCUUAACUCGGAAAGGUCAACUGAUACUGUGCGACUAGAGUGCAGAAGGGGCAACUGGGAAUUCUCGGUGUAGCGGUGAAAUGCGUAGAUAUCGAGAGGAACACCUGCGGCGAAGGCGGGUUGCUGGGCUGACACUGACGCUGAUGCGCGAAAGCCAGGGAGCGAACGGG
rnacentral:rRNA from 1 species